rnacentral:misc_RNA from 1 species
UUGAUUGAUUUGCUUUCAAUACUCCGACGCAAAGAUGCAGAAUUGAUUGGUCCUCUGGGGACGCCCGACGCGAGGCCGGGUCAUCGCCCCCGAGGCAACAGGGUUGUAUCAAACAAAGGGUUGGGAGGUCGAGGGCGCGAGGCCCCCUCACUCGGUAAUGAUCCCUCCGCAGGUUCACCUACGGAGA